GGUGAUGAGGAGAGGAAGAGUGAAGGUUGCUGGUUUAGAGUGGUGACAGUGGCUGCAUUUACAAGGACAGCACCGUGUGCCAGGUAACUGUUACAUGAUGUCCCAGACAUGAUAAUUUCUUCCUUUGCCACUCAAGAAGAAGGGAGAAGCUGACAGCUUGGCUGCUUUGCUGAAGAGGGGAGCUCCACAUUAGGGAAAAAAAUUAUAGUAUAGAAGACGAAGCAGUGAAAAAACAAAGAUGAAGCCAUCGUGAACCUCCAAGCAAAGUGCAUUACUGUAUAUGGGAUGUUUAGCAAUAAACUAGGAUUGUUAGCAUUCCUCCAACUCACAAA